rnacentral:lncRNA from 10 species
CCGAUAACCUGCAUACAGUUCUUUCAGGAAGAAAGUAGAUUAAUCCAAUUUCUCUGGUAUCAAAUAGAAACAAAUGGCUUAGAAAACCUAAAGCACAUGCAGUCUACUUGCCUACUAAAGAGAAAAAUCUGCAAACUGGGGAAAAAUGAAGAAGAAAUAUUGAGAAAGGAACUGAGAAGAUGGAAAGAGAUUCUAGAAUGAGCUAUCAAGCCACACAAAAGCAUGAAGGAAACUUAAACGCUUAUUGAUCUGUAAAAGAAACCAGUCUGAAAGGGAUAUAUAUUGUGUCAGUCCAAUUGUGUGACAUUCCAGAAAAGGCAAAACUAUGGAGACGUAAAAAGAUCAGUGCUUUCCACGGGUUUGUAAUGAAGGGAGAAGUGACAGAUAAAAAGCUGGAGCACGGUGUAUUCUUAGGGCAGUGAGAUUAUUCCAUAGGAUAAUGUAAU